rnacentral:misc_RNA from 1 species
AAGCGGCAAGAGCUCAAAUUUGAAAGCUGGCCCCCUCGGGGUCCGCAUUGUAAUUUGCAGAGGAUGCUUCGGGAGUGGCCCCCAUCUAAGUGCUCUGGAACGGGCCGUCAUAGAGGGUGAGAAUCCCGUAUGGGAUGGGGUGUCCGCGACCAUGUGAAGCUCCUUCGACGAGUCGAGUUGUUUGGGAAUGCAGCUCUAAAUGGGUGGUAAAUUUCAUCUAAAGCUAAAUAUUGGCCGGAGACCGAUAGCGCACAAGUAGAGUGAUCGAAAGAUGAAAAGCACUUUGAAAAGAGAGUUAAAAAGCACGUGAAAUUGUUGAAAGGGAAGCGCUUGCGACCAGACUCGCCUACGGGGUUCAGCCGGUAUUCGUACCGGUGUACUUCCCCGUGGGCGGGCCAGCGUCGGUUUGGGCGGCCGGUCAAAGGCCCUCGGAAUGUAACGCCUCUCGGGGCGUCUUAUAGCCGAGGGUGCCAUGCGGCCAGCCCGGACCGAGGAACGCGCUUCGGCACGGACGCUGGCAUAAUGGUCGUAAGCGACCCGUCUUGAAACACGGACCAAGGAGUCUAACAUCUACGCGAGUGUUCGGGUGUCAAACCCGUGCGCGCAGUGAAAGCGAACGGAGGUGGGAACCCUCACGGGUGCACCAUCGACCGAUCCUGAUGUCUUCGGAUGGAUUUGAGUAAGAGCGUAGCUGUUGGGACCCGAAAGAUGGUGAACUAUGCCUGAAUAGGGCGAAGCCAGAGGAAACUCUGGUGGAGGCUCGCAGCGGUUCUGACGUGCAAAUCGAUCGUCAAAUUUGGGUAUAGGGGCGAAAGACUAAU